rnacentral:tRNA from 1 species
UGGUGCAGUGGUUAAGCGUUCGGCUGCUAACCGAAAGGUUGAUGGUUUGAAUCCAUC